rnacentral:rRNA from 1 species
GGGACACGUGGUAUCCUGUCUGAAUAUGGGGGGACCAUCCUCCAAGGCUAAAUACUCCUGACUGACCGAUAGUGAACCAGUACCGUGAGGGAAAGGCGAAAAGAACCCCGGCGAGGGGAGUGAAAAAGAACCUGAAACCGUGUACGUACAAGCAGUGGGAGCACAGAGCAAUCUGUGUGACUGCGUACCUUUUGUAUAAUGGGUCAGCGACUUAUAUUCUGUAGCAAGGUUAACCGAAUAGGGGAGCCGAAGGGAAACCGAGUCUUAACUGGGCGUUAAGUUGCAGGGUAUAGACCCGAAACCCGGUGAUCUAGCCAUGGGCAGGUUGAAGGUUGGGUAACACUAACUGGAGGACCGAACCGACUAAUGUUGAAAAAUUAGCGGAUGACUUGUGGCUGGGGGUGAAAGGCCAAUCAAACCGGGAGAUAGCUGGUUCUCCCCGAAAGCUAUUUAGGUAGCGCCUCGUGAAUUCAUCUCCGGGGGUAGAGCACUGUUUCGGCAAGGGGGUCAUCCCGACUUACCAACCCGAUGCAAACUGCGAAUACCGGAGAAUGUUAUCACGGGAGACACACGGCGGGUGCUAACGUCCGUCGUGAAGAGGGAAACAACCCAGACCGCCAGCUAAGGUCCCAAAGUCAUGGUUAAGUGGGAAACGAUGUGGGAAGGCCCAGACAGCCAGGAUGUUGGCUUAGAAGCAGCCAUCAUUUAAAGAAAGCGUAAUAGCUCACUGGUCGAGUCGGCCUGCGCGGAAGAUGUAACGGGGCUAAACCAUGCACCGAAGCUGCGGCAGCGACGCUUAUGCGUUGUUGGGUAGGGGAGCGUUCUGUAAGCCUGUGAAGGUGUACUGUGAGGUAUGCUGGAGGUAUCAGAAGUGCGAAUGCUGACAUAAGUAACGAUAAAGCGGGUGAAAAGCCCGCUCGCCGGAAGACCAAGGGUUCCUGUCCAACGUUAAUCGGGGCAGGGUGAGUCGACCCCUAAGGCGAGGCCGAAAGGCGUAGUCGAUGGGAAACAGGUUAAUAUUCCUGUACUUGGUGUUACUGCGAAGGGGGGACGGAGAAGGCUAUGUUGGCCGGGCGACGGUUGUCCCGGUUUAAGCGUGUAGGCUGGUUUUCCAGGCAAAUCCGGAAAAUCAAGGCUGAGGCGUGAUGACGAGGCACUACGGUGCUGAAGCAACAAAUGCCCUGCUUCCAGGAAAAGCCUCUAAGCAUCAGGUAACAUCAAAUCGUACCCCAAACCGACACAGGUGGUCAGGUAGAGAAUACCAAGGCGCUUGAGAGAACUCGGGUGAAGGAACUAGGCAAAAUGGUGCCGUAACUUCGGGAGAAGGCACGCUGAUAUGUAGGUGAAGUCCCUCGCGGAUGGAGCUGAAAUCAGUCGAAGAUACCAGCUGGCUGCAACUGUUUAUUAAAAACACAGCACUGUGCAAACACGAAAGUGGACGUAUACGGUGUGACGCCUGCCCGGUGC